AUGGUCGUGUGCGACUUGGACCUGAACUUCACCUUCAUUUCUUGUGGCUGGGAGGGAUCUGCUACCGAUGCUAAAGUUCUCCGGUCAGCACUUAAUAGUGGGUUUCAUGUACCUCCGGGCAAGUUUUAUCUGGUUGAUGGUGGUUAUGCCAACACACCUUACUUCUUGGCACCGUAUCGUGGUGUUCGGUACCAUCUGAAGGAGUUUGCACGUGGUCGCCAUCGACCCCAAAAUCACAGCGAGCUAUUCAAUCUCCGGCAUGCCGUGUUACGAAAUCACGUCGAACGGGGAUUAGGAAUCUUGAAGAAGCGGUUCCCAAUCCUAAAAGUGGGCACGCAUCAUCGAAUAGAGAACCAAGUCAAGCUACCAGCAGCGGCGGCAAUCUUACAUAACAUCAUCCGAUCUAAAAAAGGAGAUGAGCGUUGGUUAGAUAACCAACCAAACAAUAUACCUGUCAUGAAUUUUGUUGAUCUUCCUGACGGUGAUAUUCCUCAAAAUCAUCAAAUCAACCAUGAAGGCGACAACCUUAGAGAUGCCAUUGCUCAUCAAAUGUGGGCUGAUUAUCGACAUGCAUAA
rnacentral:rRNA from 1 species